rnacentral:rRNA from 1 species
AGUGAACGCUGGCGGUAGGCCUAACACAUGCAAGUCGAACGGCAGCACAGUAAGAGCUUGCUCUUACGGGUGGCGAGUGGCGGACGGGUGAGGAAUACAUCGGAAUCUACUUUUUCGUGGGGGAUAACGUAGGGAAUCUUACGCUAAUACCGCAUACGACCUACGGGUGAAAGCAGGGGAUCUUCGGACCUUGCGCGAUUGAAUGAGCCGAUGUCGGAUUAGCUAGUUGGCGGGGUAAAGGCCCACCAAGGCGACGAUCCGUAGCUGGUCUGAGAGGAUGAUCAGCCACACUGGAACUGAGACACGGUCCAGACUCCUACGGGAGGCAGCAGUGGGGAAUAUUGGACAAUGGGCGCAAGCCUGAUCCAGCCAUACCGCGUGGGUGAAGAAGGCCUUCGGGUUGUAAAGCCCUAUUGUUGGGAAAGAAAAGCAGCAGGUUAAUACCCCGCUGUUCUGACGGUACCCAAAGAAUAAGCACCGGCUAACUUCGUG